UACGGAGGGGGCCAGCGUUGUUCGGAAUCAUUGGGCGUAAAGGGCGCGUAGGCGGCCGAGCAAGUCGGAUGUGAAAUCCCCCGGCUCAACUGGGGAACUGCAUCCGAAACUGCUUGGCUUGAGUCCUGGAGAGGGUAGUGGAAUUCCCAGUGUAGCGGUGAAAUGCGUAGAUACUGGGAGGAACACCGGUGGCGAAGGCGGCUACCUGGACAGGUACUGACGCUGAUGCGCGAAAGCUAGGGGAGCAAACAGG
rnacentral:rRNA from 1 species